GCCGGUCCUCGGUAGUGGCCGUCGGAACUCCAGUCGCACCAGCGCGGCAGUGAGGUCCGCCGGCUUCGAUCGACGGCCGGU
rfam:Nakamurella panacisegetis strain P4-7,KCTC 19426,CECT 7604 genome assembly, chromosome: I